CAACCUCUCAGAGAGAGACCCCAAUCACCGUCACUGAUGUUGAGGUUGAUGACCCUCAACUGGAGCAGACAGAUAACCUGUCCUGCUUGGAACUGUCCUUGCCUGGACUUCUUGGGUUGCAAGGCGUCACCCUGUCACCUGGAAUCCCAUCGGUGCUCUGGGCCUACCACUGGCCUCACUCCUGCUUGGAGAGCCACUAGAGCCAGGCCAAGUUCACGUCCGCCGCAGCUCACCCAAUGGUAAUUGCCAGGUGGUGACUCCAGAGACGGAAAGAUGGCUCACCGGCCAGGCCAGCGUCCUCAACACUGGGAGCACCACUAUUGUUGUCGUGAGAACUUGCAAAUGGCUGGGCACAAGGAGCGCAUGUGGGUGACUGUUGACAGUAAUCACUAGGCUGGCCUCAAACUCUCAAGCUCAAGCCUCCUGCCUCCUCCCAAGCAGCUGGGACUACAAGCUCUCCAACAACCAUUUUUCUCCAUUUUCCUCGUUUUCAAAGACUACACCCCAUCACAGAAAAAUGCCACCAACUCAUUUUCCCAGCUUCUCUCCGACCUAGAACUUGGUCAUUGAGACCCUCCCCAGAGAGUAGUCAUUGAGACCCAAGGAUAAGUUGGGGGUGGGGGAGAUGAUUUGGGGAGAGAUUUUCUUUCUUGAUGGACAGAACUCUGCCCGGAGAACCUCUCCUUCCUGCCUUUUGUCAUUGAGCUUGUGUUACCUGGAGCUGAGGCAGUCAUUUUACCACUAUAAGAUUACAAGACUUGAAGGAUAAAACUGACCUGAUUCUCUCUGGUAGAAUACAAGCUUAAGGAAGGUAGGGGGUCUAUAGUACUUGUCCUUAUUAGUUAGUCCGUUUUUGGUUGGGUGAUUUGUUGCUGAUAGCAUUCUAUAACGUACCUCAUUUUCUAGAGUAUUCAAUUUCCAAGGUAUCCCUGGAAUGACUUUCUGUGUCCAACCCCAAGUACGCUGUGGGGGUCUCAGAACUCCACAGGCACAUGGAAUUCAUUACAUUCCAAUCCUCUCAGUUUAUGGAGGGAGAAACUGAGUUCCAGAAAGAGUACAAGGCUUUUCAGGAAGUGCUGAAGACUCAAAUACCUGCCUUUUGAUGCGUUGCCCAUUUCCUUGACUACCAUGCCCACGUUUUUAGGGGCCUUGUCCUGCCCUUGUCCUGCUAUUGAUGAAGGGUGAUUAGGGGAUCCCUGUUGUCAUGUGGUCCCACCUUUCUGGGCCAUAGCUGAUUGGACCAAGUCAGCAUCUGACCCCAAGACAGCCAAUCAUAUACUCUCUGUCUAGGGCUAUGAACUAAGAAAAGCCAAAAGCUGGAGCCAUUUAUAGGGGGAGGUGGGAGCUGCCUUGCCAGACCUUGUACAGUCAACAUGGUGAGAAAUAGAAUGUCCCCUGGGGAAGUGAGAGGAGCAAGACCACCCCAGAAAGCCCACUGGAGGAGAGGAGGCGCAGAUCCUGUAGGCGGCAGCCCUGCCCCACCCUUUCCAGUUUAAACUCAUGAAUAUUCUUUUGGUAACCCACCUCCCUUUCCUACCCUGACCAGUCAGCUUUACCAUUUUUCGUCUGCACAAAGAGCUAGAAUGAUCUCCUUGGAGCUUAAGCCAGAUUAUGUCACCAUCAGGCUCAACAAGGGCCACCAGUUCCCUACCUCUUAGGGAAAAGAAGCAAACAGCCAGGUCCCCGGGUCUUUCAGUUCCUGGAAAAGUCCCUGCUUCCAGUUCUGGUCUUUCAUUUGUCCUCUCUGUUGGAAUGUCACUGCCCUGGACAUUCCUGGGCCUGUCACUUUUCAUCCUCGGGUUACAGCUCAAAUGCCAGAUCCUCAGAGACCCCUCGAAUGAGCUUCCCGUGGCUGCUGUAUCAAGUCACCACAAACAGAGGCGCUUAAAACAACACAGAUUUACUCUUUUACAGUUGUGGAAGUCAUAAGUCAAUGGGUCUCAGUGGGCAGAAAUCAAGGCAUGGGCAGGGCUGGCUCCUCGUGGAGGCCCCAGGGAGGACCCGUUCCCAUGCCCAUCAGCUCUGAGAUUGCACCCACAUUCCUGGGCUCAGGCCCCUCCAUCUUCAGAACUAGCAGUGUAGCAUUUUCCAGUCUCACUCAUUCUGCUCUUCCCACCUCCCUCUCGUCAGGGCAGUCCUCCCAGAUAACCCAGCACCCUCUCCCCAACUCAAGACCCCCAACGUAACCACAUCGGCAGUGUCCUUUUGCUGUACAGACAGAUGCUCCUCCACUUACCAUGGUUUGUGGCCCAAUAAACCCUUUGCACAUUGAAAAUGGCAUACAUAAAAAAUGCAUCCACUGUAUCUAGCCUGUCAAACACACCAAAGGGUUUCUCCUCAGAUUCCGCGGCUGAGGGGAGCUAUGGCUGGCUGCCACUCAGCAUCACAAGAAAGUACCUGUAUUAGUUGGCUUUCUGUUGCUCGGACAAAAUAUCAGAGAAACAGCUUAAAAAGAGGAAAAAUUUAUUGUGGCUUAUGUUUUGGGGGUUUCCGUCUAUGAUCUGUUGGCGCCAUGCCAUCACGGUGGGGGAAACUGCUCACCUUGAAGCUACCAGGAAGCAAGGAGAGGGACAGGAGGGCACAGUCCCAGUGUCCCCUUCAAGGGCACACCCCAACUGCCUUUCACCAGGCCCCACCUCCUAAAGGUUCCAGCCCUGCAACAGCGCGGUCUGCGGGACCAAGCCUUCAGCGUGGGAGCCUUGGGGAGCAUUUAAGGUUCACACCCUGAGGACAAUCACUGCUAACCUGGGGAGGGACAAACAUUCAAAAUUUGAACUAUGAUUUCUACUAAAUGCAUAUUGCUUUUAAACCAUUGUAAAAUAAAAAAAUACAUAAGUAGGAUCCUUGUAAGUUGUGGAAUAAGGUUAUCAUUCACAGGUUCUAGAAAUUAGGAGGAGGACAUAUUUGGGGGACCAAACGUGCCUCUCUCGCCCUCCUCCACUGUCUGGUGUCCAGGGACCCCCAGAUCCCACAUUCCCUCUCCUCCCUCGGACCAUGCUCUCAAUCAUAUUGCUCAGGUAAUUACUGCAGUAUGUAUUUAUCCAUCCCUUUAUUCCUGCUACUGGAAGCUCUGUGAGGUAGGAAUUAUUAUUUUUUCUGUUGCUAUGUCCAGCCCCCAGCACCAGUUCUGGCAAAAAUAAAAUAAAAUAAAUAACUACUAGAUGAUUUGUGAAACUGAUGAGCGGCAGCUUGGUGACUGUGUCUGGUAGGCAAAUGAC